rnacentral:lncRNA from 8 species
CAGUAUGCCAACUAGGGAGCCAAACGAACGGUUCUUUCACAGAUGCGAUUCCGUUCACCAAAAAGAGCCAAUCAAAAAGAGCCGUUCAUUCGCAACGACCCAUCACUAGUUCCAACGAGUCCACUGUCGGCCAAUUGCCCUCUAUAUAUCACCAACACAACAUUGCUUGCUCAAUACAAAGAGAGCGCGGAUUCAUAAAGGCGCACGGUGAUUUGUAUUUAUUUCUACCACCACUGGAGCGGUCCAAGGUGCUGAAACAUGAAUCAAAGUGCGGGAGUAGCCCAAACUGUUCGUCGUUACUCUUCUGAUGAUAAGAUGCCUGCCUUAGAUGCCAUUAAAGAAACGCUGAAGAUUCAUCAGGUUAUCAGUGUCUCACCAGGCCAGAUAAAAUACAGGGAUAUUACUUGUCUGUUCAAGAAGGAUAGUGGUAUGUUGGACUGUCCUUGUUUUCAGCUCAAAGAGGCAACUCUGGGUGACCCUGCAUUGAACUUAAUCAUGUAGGGGAGUGGUGUGUUGUGAAUUAUGACCUUGAAGGAUACCCUGGCAUUAUCAUGGCUGUAGAGAAACAAUAUUAAGGUGAAUUGCAUGCACCGGAAUGGCAUCAACAAAUUAUUCUGCCCAAAUCCAAAGGAAGAUAUUUGUUGGUACUCUGAUGGACAUAUAAUUUCUCUGAUGCCAGAGAUGGAAAGAGGGGGAGCGAGAGAGGAAGAGAGGAACAGGAAUGUGUUUUAAUGCUAAUUCCAAUGAUUUUGUACCGGCAAUGCAUUUUUGUGU